CCCUAGUGUCAUGCCACCCUGAACAAGCCCGAUGUCUGAUCUCGGAAGCUAAGUAGUGUCAGGCCUGGUUAGUACUUGGAUGGGAGACCACCUAGGAAGACCAGGUGCUGUAGGCA
rnacentral:rRNA from 1 species